CUGUGUUAGGCUAAAUGCCUUACGUGUAAUAGUCUGGUUAAUCUUCAAAACAAAACAGCAAGUCAUGAGGUUGGUUCUCCAGUCAUUGUUGUUCUGCACUGAGGAAACUGAAGCAUAGAAACAGCUAAUAGUGAGAAUGACAAUACAACUUUGUGUAUUGUCUGGACCCCAAUUUAUAAUGGAUCCUUCUGGCUGGAUUUAGGAUAGUGACCCUACUUCAACCAUAUAAGCAAGGUUAUAAUCCUAGGAAUUUGCAAACAGAAGGAGCCACACAGAAGGAACCUACAUCCCUGGAUGACACUGAAGACAAGAGGCAUUUACCUGCCUACUCCAUGGACUGUAAAGUGGAAAAAAUGACCUAUAGUUUUUGAGCCAUUCCAUUUAUGUUUUUGUCUUUAUUUUGUUUGCAGCAACUUACUUGGAUCCAGGUAAUCACAUCCAACCUAGGGGUAGGGCCCUUGCUGUGAAUGACUAAUCAAUAUUUAUAACUUCAAAGACUUGACCUGCUUUAAGGUGCAAAUAGCUCUGGUCAAUUUUGGUGACUUGUAUCGGAAGGCAGUUAAUCAGGUAAACAAAAGAUAGUUUUCAAAGAAAAUUUUCUUCAGGAGGAAAAUGUUACGGCAUUAUUUAUCCUUUAUCUUUUAUUGGUUGGGGAACAAAUAGAUGAAGGAAGAAAAACUGAGGGCUGUACAAAUAGAAACUGCUUGCUGAUGCUGUCCUGGCUUCUGUGGUAAGAAUGUCUUUUAGAGACCCUGGGACAAAAAGCAACACUGAAAAAUCUAAGAUGUGUGGCAAUUCUUUGAUAUCAAAAAUCAUUGAAUGGUUCUUUUCUAAAUUCCUAACUCCCUGUUUUGCAGACAUCACUUCCUGAUGACUCUAAUUAUUUUGUUGUAUCACAGUGAUGUUUUGCCAGCCAGUAGAAACACAGUAUUAGUCCACAUAGUAGUAUUAAAAAAACUUUAAGCUAGGAUAAGAACUACGUGUCUUUGAGCUGUCUACACUGAACCUGGUAUGUGACAUGUUAUGAUAAUAAUAAUGGUAAUGCUAAUAAUAGUAAUGAUAUUACAGGAAUAACAAAAGAGUCCUUUCAUCUCAAAAGCAUGGGUCUAACUUACUCUCUGUGUCUCAAAAGUUUAACAUCAUUUUUCUAGUCCGGUAAUAGAUUGGUUUUGCACCAGGGUAAUAGUUCCUCUUAGUUCCCUCUAUAAUGUGCAGUUGGGAGACACUUGACACUUCCCCCAGCCAGGGGGAUCAUAUGAAACUGGCCUGCAUUUAGUUUUAGCAGAAAAAAAAAUCUAAAUAAUGGAACUAAUCAUUCAAACUGUAAAAAGUACAUAUGCAGAAUUACUAGUAUUUACUUGAUUUUCCUGCCAACCUUCAUUAUGUUACUUCAUAAGAAGAUAAGAAAAGGAAUAUCAUUUGUACCUAGAUCAUUGGAUGCACAGUAAUGCUUAGUUACCAAUUCAUGACUUUGUGAAAAAUAUUCCCAAAGGACAGCAUACUCUUCCUAUGUAACACCACUGAACAAAUCACUGCCACAUGUGUCCUUUGGUGUAUCUGUGGCCUGAGAAUUAUUUAAGGGCCAAAUUUAUAUCCUAUUCUUUAACUACCAAGUGAUCUUCCUUCCCUAAUUAAACAGAUACUCAGAGCAACAACUCACAAAUGAUGUUCUUAAAUGACACUAAAAGUCUCAGGCAAGAUCUCAUUGAACUGUUGCUGAAUCCUUGGUUACAGAGUUUUUUCUUUAUAACAUCUGAAUUAGUUUCAUGGCUGAAACUAUAAUUGGCCUCUCAAAUGUGGUAGUGAGAGAUCUGGCUUAGUGACAGAAAGACCAAAAUCAGUAAAUGAGGGAAAAUAACAACCUAGAGAAUAAUGACUGAAAGAAGAACAUUAAUACUAAAUAAUGAAGAAGAAUGUAAACAGAUAAGAGACUCAGAAAGCCCUAGAUCUUUAAAAGGCUGAAAGAGGGAGGGCAAAGAUAAAAAAUGAUAAGACCUGUCAAGAAGAACAAAGUCAAUGUGUGUACAUUAUUCAGUUUAAGGAAUUAGAGUCACAAGGUCAAGUGUGGGUAACAGUAAAUAUGAAUGAUGAGGAAUAAAAUAAGUAAAAAGCAAGCUAGUUUCAUAAAUCAAUUCCACAGCAACUUAGCUGGGGGGAGGUGAAAGGAGAAUGGAGGAUAACCCAUUGGAGCCUGUUGAAAUGUCAAGAUCUAUUACCAAUUACUAAAUAUCAACGUGUUCAUGCAAAAUCCCAGUGUUCAGGGUCAUAAAACAGUGCAUUCCAUGGACCAGUGGGGAUUAUCUAAUUUGCACUUUGAAGUGCACUUAAACAAAACAAGAGAAAACAUGGGCAUUUGUAGCAAGAGGAAAACAUACAUUAGAAGAUAAGUAGAAUGAAAGAACAUAUAAGCCCCCAUCUCAGCCUAUUAUCCCAGGAUGGUCUCUGAGCCCACCUUGGAGGGGACCCCAUUUCUGCUUCUUUGGCUGUACAAUGCCAAGGAAGAAGCUGCUAUAAAAGACAAGCAAAGGGGGAGGUCUGGAAUGAAGAUUUGGGCAAGAGUCCAUACGCCAAGGUUAAGGGCCAGAACUUCUGCUCUUUGCACUCUCCCACUGGGAGCUGUACAGGCAGGAGAAACAGGGAUGGGCCCCUUGGGGAAGAAGGGGACACUAGAGUUGGCCACUAACAACAGAUUAAAGCCCAAUGUAAACAGUGUGCUGGACACAUGUGGGUUGUAGAGAGAGUGGUGAUGAAUAAGCCUGUAUCCAGGCAAGGACUUCAAACAGGAGGAGGCUGAGCAAUGAUGAAAAUGAUUCAGUGCCCUCAGAAAUGACUCAUGAGAGGAACAGAAUGUGAAGAAAACAAAGAAGAAAUGUCCACAUUUAUCAAGCACUUGACAAAUGAUGGGGGAUGCACAAUUAGGGAGAGCAAAUCAUUGGAACAGAGUAAAGACAAGAAGGGAGGCCAUAGGCAGUCUGAAAAGAAGAAAUCCAGGGAUGCAAGGGCAGCAGUAUCAUAGAGUGGAUUAAUCCGCUCUCACUGAAUUAUGGUCAACACAAAUUAAUCUUGCAGUCCAAUUGAUUUAACACUGAACUGGACUGUAAAAUUCAGGGAAUGCUGAUUCUGUUUGACUAGCAUUGGUCUCUACCUAUUUUGUGAACAUCUCCAUUCUCAGGCUCUUUCUCCCUUUAGGUAGGGCUGAUCUCCAGCAGGUCUGCUCUGGUAGAGCCUAAUCAGGUAUAUGCCGAUGCCAUACCUGACUGGGUAAUGUUUAUAUAAUACUUGUUGCUACAUGUUUUCGUUAUCAUUUCUACCUUCAAGUAUUCAGAUAACAUUCUGAACCCAUUUGAACUAAACUUUUUUAAAUGACCUAAUUGAUACCUGUGUUUUGGACUAACUAUUCUAAUCUGUUAUCUUUCUCUCUCUCUCUCUUUUUUUUUUUUGGUAUUGCCCAAUCUUUCUAAAUCACUCCUUGUACUAUGUCUUCCAUGUCUCUGAGUGACUAGAGAGACCAGAGCUUGUAACUGAACAUGGCACAUGAAUAAGGGGGAAAAAUCCAAAACAGGCAUUGGUUGUGUUGUUACUGAGGCUUCAGGAUGGGUUUGUUACUGCACUGCAUAACCUAGCUUAUACUGAUUGAUACAUUCACUUUAAGCUAACGUUGUAUAAUGUGUAUUAUAAGUCUGGACCUACAGCCUUCAGUUUUAUUCACAAAGAACUAUCCAUAGAAUUAGUACCAUAUAUGAUUCUGUAUGCAUAUUAUAGAUAAACCCUAGAUCAGAUAAUAGAGUUUCCCCAAUUGUGCAUUUAAUAAUUAAAUGAAUGUUUGUGGACUAAAUGAAUGAAUGAAUGAAAAUGACAAUAAAAUGGUACCAGGAAUCUCUGAAAUCUAGCAAAAUUAUUUAUAGAAUCCUCCCAGCAUUUUGUAAUUGGAAGGGACUCUAAACACAGCUACUCCAGUCUCCCAUGACAUCCCUUCCAUGGGUGUAUCCAACCUCCCCAAAUAUUUCCAGUGUCAAGGAGCUCACCACCUUAUAGGAUAGCCUUGUUUUGCAUGUGGUGAGUUCUGACCCUAACACACAUGUGUUUAACUCCUGUAAUCUUUGUCUCCACUUAAAUGGAAUCCCCUGAGAGAAUUAACGAAUAUUUUGUGUUGAGUUUUAUACUCAAUGGUGUAGCCAGUUUCCUUUCUUUAGCAACCCAGGGUCCCACACUGAGGCAUGAUUGGUCUCUCUCAGCACUGUGGUUCCCCAUUAGAACUUCCACUUCUCACCUUCUCCAGCCUCUAGUCAAAUACACAUGUCUGGAGUUAUAUUUGAAAUAACUGUAAUAAACGAUCUGAACACUUUAACAUAGGCUUCUUGGGGAAAUGUCUAACCGAGGGAAGUUUUUACUGAUAUGGACCUACAUACCUUAACAGGUAAGAGAGAAAGAUACUCGGGGCCAGACAGACCCUGUUUGGAGCUCUAAUCUUACUAUGCAGGCAGCUCUGUGUUGUACAUUUGUAUAGAGUUUGUUUUCUUUAUCUUACUUUGUCCUGACCUUUCACUAGGUGGAAGAUUAGAGCAUUUUACUCCCUUGCUUAGCUCCAAAUUCUCAGGCAUUUAUUUUUGAAUGUAUUUAAACCUCUAGCUAGAGCUUUCAAAAAGUUCUUUCUCCCUAUUAAAUAUUAAGACCAUAAAACAGAAAAUGAGUUUUCUUAGAUUUGAGAAGUGCACAAUUGGUACAUCUUAAAACAGCGCGUGCGUGCAUGUGCACGUGUGUGAUGGGGGUUGUGUGUUUUCUGUGAGCAACAGUUGUAAUGGAGGUUCAGUGGGAAGAGUCUGAGCAUUGGAGUCACAAGGCCCAAGGUUUGAAUCCUAGCAUAUGAACCUUUGAGGAAGUCACUACUUUGAGUUUCGGUUUCUUCAUCUGUAAAGUGGGUCUAAUGAUAUCACAUUCUAGGAUGGUUUUGAAACUCAAAUAUUCCUGGCACAAGAGGAGCACAAAGUCAAUAUUUAUUUCCUCUUUCUAUCCAAGAGGAACUUUUGUGGGAAAACUUUCUCAUUAUAAAUCGCUAAUUUUCUUUAAAAAUAGAUCUUCAUUGUUCAAUGAAGCUAAGAAGAAGAGUAAACACAUACUUAGCCCGAGAUAAGUAUAUAACACAUAUGCAGAUCUGGAAAGGGCUUUCUGUCAAAAACCAUCCUAAAUUAGCGUGGUUAAGCCCUUGUGUUGUUAACAAGUAGAAUGGUGACUAUGCCUGUUCCAUGCACUUUGACACUACACUGCCCUGGUUUGACUCACAAGCAUGACUCGACUUUGACUUAGGUAUCUGAUUGACUUUUGGAGGCAGGUCAGAUUCAUUUCAGCAUCACCCUUGAAACACUUUGCAGCCAGCUGAGUUCAUUCCAUGUGACCCUGAAAGCCACUGAAGUCACUGUAGCAGCCCCUGGGAUCAUCCUUUAUCAAGAGAUUUGUAUUCCAACGGGCAAUUGUGGAUUAUCAGGCCAGUUCUAUUGUAGACUUAUUCCCUUUCCACCUACCUUUACUUAUGCUGUUUAUCUUACCUCUAAAAUACACUUUUAUCUUGACUUAACAGGAAUAACCUUUUAAAAGCCUGUCUGAGAUUUCUUUACCUCAUUAUAGACAUGGCCAUCUUCAAAAUUACUCUUCUAGCCUGCAGAUCUGUCUGCAGAAAUUGGGUUGGGUUUGUGAGUUGAUGUUCCAUUUAUUUGUGUCACUUCCUAUUUUUUAUUAGUCUUGUUUUCUUAAAUUCUGUACAUUGGAUAGU